CGCUGGCGGCGUGCUUAACACAUGCAAGUCGAACGGGGCGAAGUGAUAGCUUGCUAGUUAUGGAGCCUAGUGGCAAACGGGUGAGUAACGCGUAGGCAACCUGCCCUUCAGAUGGGGACAACACCUCGAAAGGGGUGCUAAUACCGAAUGACGUUUCCUGGUCGCAUGACCUGGUAACCAAAGGCCGGGCAACCGGUCACUGAAGGAUGGGCCUCGCGUCCGAUUAGCUAGUUGGUGAGGUAAUGGCCCACCAAGGCGACGAUCGGUAGCCGGACUGAGAGGUUGAACGGCCACAUUGGAACUGAGACACGGUCCAGACUCCUACGGGAGGCAGCAGUGGGGAAUCUUCCGCAAUGGGCGAAAGCCUGACGGAGCAACGCCGCGUGAGUGAUGACGGCCUUCGGGUUGUAAAGCUCUGUGAUCGGGGACGAACGGUCAGCAGACGAAUACUCUGCUGAAGUGACGGUACCCGAAUAGCAAGCCACGGCUAACUACGUG
rnacentral:rRNA from 1 species